UGGGCUCCUUAUUUCAGGUAUUGGAAACAGGCUGGGUCAUCAUCCCACUCACUGUACCGCCAUAGGUGGCACCUCAUCACAGCUUCAUCAUAGCUUUGUGUCUGUACAUCCUGCUCACAGCUGACCCAGUGUGAAAUAUGAGUGCAUGAGUAAGAUCAAGAUCUAGAGGAAAGGGAGAUGGAAAAAAGUCUUCUAAGCAGGAAGAACCUGUGGUUGCUAAACAACCAGGUGAAAAAACAUGACAACAAAAGGAACUACCAACUGAGAAUCCAGAUAUUGAGACUGGGCAAGAGAAAGAAGGAGCACCUGUGGCUCAAGAACCUGAACUGGAAAGUGAAACCCAAGGAAUGGGUCUGGAAGAGACUGGAGCUGAGCAUGUAGAUUGCCCUGAGGUGAGAAAGGAAGACUCCACCUAAUCCAGCACCUGCUAAAAUUCCAGAAGCAUGUGAUGCACAGUCAUAUGUUCAAAAGAAGACAAGCUGAAGACAUACAUAUGCUUUGUUAUGUUGAUAAUUUGGCUUAAGUUCUCUCAAUAAAGCCUUAAUAAAGUUUGCUCAGAAGAAGUCAUGCA